AUUUAAAUAGUUUAAAAAAAACAUUGAUUUGUGAAAUCAAAAUUAUAUAAAAAUUUUAAAUA
rnacentral:tRNA from 1 species